GAUGAGCGCUAGCUACAGGCUUAACACAUGCAAGUCGAGGGGCAUCAUGGAGGAAGCUUGCUUUCUCUGAUGGCGACCGGCGCACGGGUGAGUAACGCGUAUCCAACCUUCCCCUUAGUAGGGCAUAGCCCGGCGAAAGUCGGAUUAAUACCCUAUGCGCUCCAUUGCAGGCAUCUAACGUGGAGCAAAGAUUUAUCGCUGUGGGAUGGGGAUGCGUCUGAUUAGGCAGCAGGCGGGGUAACGGCCCACCUGGCCUACGAUCAGUAGGGGUUCUGAGAGGAAGGUCCCCCACAUUGGAACUGAGACACGGUCCAAACUCC
rnacentral:rRNA from 1 species